UGCAGUGUACUACUCAAGUAUGUCAUGACAUCAGCCAAGACAUCAGAGUACAGCUAUAUAUUCUAACAUACAAUGCAGUCAAACAAACAUCUCCACAGCAUGUCAUGACAUCAGUCAAGACAUUAGAAUCCAGCUAGUGUUUUACCAUACAAUCCAGCCAAUUAAACAUUUAUAGUUCUCCUUAUGGAAUGCAUUGUGCUCCUGUAGAUUUUUAGUUUCUCCCAGAUUCUUU
rnacentral:lncRNA from 1 species